rnacentral:rRNA from 1 species
GACGAACGCUGGCGGCGUGCUUAACACAUGCAAGUCGAACGGAAAGGCCUUUUCGGCGGUACUCGAGUGGCGAACGGGUGAGUAACACGUGGGUGAUCUGCCCUGCACUCUGGGAUAAGCCUGGGAAACUGGGUCUAAUACCGGAUAGGACCGCACUUUAGUGUGUGUGGUGGAAAGUUUUUUCGGUGUAGGAUGAGCCCGCAGCCUAUCAGCUUGUUGGUGGGGUAAUGGCCUACCAAGGCGGCGACGGGUAGCCGGACUGAGAGGUUGGUCUGCCACAUUGGGACUGAGAUACGGCCCAGACUCCUACGGGAGGCAGCAGGGGGGAAUAUUGCACAAUGGGCGCAAGCCUGAUGAAGCGACGCCGCGUGGGGGAUGACGGCCUUCGUGUUGUAAACUCCUUUCGCCAGGGACGAAGCGUUUUGUGACGGUACCUGGAGAAGAAGCACCGGCUAACUACGUG